GCUCAGGAUGAACGCUAGCUACAGGCUUAACACAUGCAAGUCGAGGGGUAGCAGGGUAGCAAUACCGCUGACGACCGGCGCACGGGUGAGUAACACGUAUCCAACCUUCCCAUUACUCGGGGAUAGCCUUUCGAAAGAAAGAUUAAUACCCGAUAGUACAAUAGAUAGGCAUCUAUUUAUUGUUAAAGAUUUAUUGGUAAUGGAUGGGGAUGCGUUCCAUUAGAUUGUUGGUGAGGUAACGGCUCACCAAGUCUUCGAUGGAUAGGGGUUCUGAGAGGAAGGUCCCCCACAUUGGUACUGAGACACGGACCAAACUCCUACGGGAGGCAGCAGUGAGGAAUAUUGGUCAAUGGGCGAGAGCCUGAACCAGCCAA
rnacentral:rRNA from 1 species